rnacentral:tRNA from 1 species
GGUGUAGCGCAGUUGGUAGCGCGCUUGGUUCGGGACCAAGAGGUCAUGGGUUCAAAUCCCGUCAC